rnacentral:lncRNA from 1 species
UAGACCGGAGCAACAAAGAAAGACAAAGACACAGAAAAUACAACUACCCGACCCCCCUCUCUUCCCUCCCUUUCUCCCUCUAUUCACAAUCAACAACCAAACGAAGGCAGAAACAGACAAAAAAAACGCACACUCUCGCUACCCUGGUCGUCGUCGUAGCAAUCCUCGCAGUGACCUCGUAGGCACAAGAACCCGAGUUCAAAUUGGGUCAAGUCGUCCACAUCUGCACGCCAAGGGAUGUCAAGAUGAUGGCUCGCUUCGUCUCUCGUAUCUAUCGGCUUUCCGUCCGCUCCGUUCCAGAUGGAAAUUGCGGAGAAAAUGGCGAGGACUGUACCUCCAACCGACGAGAGGUCAGACAGGCCGAGCUGCUUCUCGUUGAUGUCAAGAGGAAAUGUUGCACGGAGUGUUGCAUGCCCGAGGACCUCUACGGCGCCUGUCGCUAAACUCCGGAUGACCUUGCUUGACGGCGAUGACUGCAUGGCGAUUUCAUGAUUUUGAGUUUGGAUAUGGACACUACUUGUACACGCAUACACUUGCACAUGUACAUAUAUGUAUAUAUGUGUGUAUGUACACGUGCAUAUACA